rnacentral:rRNA from 1 species
AUUGAACGCUGGCGGCAGGCCUAACACAUGCAAGUCGAACGAGUGGCGGACGGGUGAGUAAUGUCUGGGAAACUGCCUGAUGGAGGGGGAUAACUACUGGAAACGGUAGCUAAUACCGCAUACCAUCGGAUGUGCCCAGAUGGGCUUAGCUAGUAGGUGGGGUAACGGCUCACCUAGGCGACGAUCCAUAGCUGGUCUGAGAGGAUGACCAGACACACUGGAACUGAGACACGGUCCAGACUCCUACGGGAGGCAGCAGUGGGGAAUAUUGCACAAUGGGCGCAAGCCUGAUGCAGCCAUGCCGCGUGUAUGAAGAAGGCCUUCGGGUUGGAAAGUACUUUGAGCGGGGAUGCGUUACCCAAAGAGAAAGCACCGGCUAACUCCGUGCCAGCAGCCGCGGUAAUUC